UGUGCUAAUACCGCAUAAUCUCUCAGGAGAAAAGCAGGGGAUCGCAAGACCUUGCGCUUUAGGAGCGGCCGAUGCCUGAUUAGCUUGUUGGUAAGGUAAAAGCUUACCAAGGCUUCGAUCAGUAGCUGGUCUGAGAGGACGACCAGCCACACUGGGACUGAGACACGGCCCAGACUCCUACGGGAGGCAGCAGUGGGGAAUUUUGGACAAUGGGGGAAACCCUGAUCCAGCCAUGCCGCGUGAGUGAAGAAGGCCUUCGGGUUGUAAAGCUCUUUCAGCCGGAACGAAACGG
rnacentral:rRNA from 1 species